AUGGAAGAAGAAAUUGAUGAAACUAUGAUCUCAUUGGAUGAAAAAGAUGACGAGGAGAGCGAAGAACCAAAGGAGGAAGAGCAGAUUGAUCACCCGUGCCCACCUUCUAAUGAGAGUAACUCUUCAACUCAUAUAUUGUUUAAUUCCCCUUCGUACUUACCGAAGGAUGAUUACUAUGAUCCUGUUGAUUGUCUUGAAAUAUCCCUUUUUGAUGAUGCUUGCUAUGCUUGUGGCCAAGAUGCCAAUAUGAAUUAUGCUUAUGGAGAUGAACUUGCUAUAGUUCCUUAUGUUAAACAUGAAAUUGUUGCUAUUGCACCCACGCAUGAUAUUCCUAUUAUCUUUUUGAAUUCUCCCAACCACACAAUAUCGGAGAAGUUUGUGCUUAUUAAGGAUCAUAUUGAUGGGUUGCCUUUUACUACUACACAUGAUGAUUUUGAAAGAUAUAAUAUGCAUGUGCUUGCUGCUCCUACUUGCAAUUAUUAUGAGAGAUGA
rnacentral:rRNA from 1 species